AACAAGGCGUACCUGCGGACCUGCGGAAGGAUCAUUACCGAGUUUACAACUCCCAAACCCCUGUGAACAUACCUAUACGUUGCCUCGGCGGAUCAGCCCGCGCCCUGUAAAAAGGGACGGCCCGCCCGAGGACCCUAAACUCUGUUUUUAGUGGAACUUCUGAGUAAAACAAACAAAUAAAUCAAAACUUUCAACAACGGAUCU
rnacentral:misc_RNA from 1 species